rnacentral:rRNA from 1 species
GCCACCUUGGGCCUGAGACACGGCCCAAACUCCUACGGGAGGCAGCAGUAGGGAAUCUUCCGCAAUGGACGCAAGUCUGACGGAGCAACCCCGCGUGAGUGAAGAAGGUUUUCGGAUCGUAAAACUCUGUUAUAAGAGAAGAACAAGUUGUAGAGUAACUGUUGCAGCUUUGACGGUAUCUUAUCAGAAAGCCACGGCUA